rnacentral:rRNA from 1 species
UACGUAGGUGUCAAGCGUUGUCCGGAUUUAUUGGGCGUAAAGCGCCCGCAGGCGGCUUGCCAAGUUCGAUGUGAAAUCUCCCGGCUCAACUGGGAGGGUGCAUCGAAAACUGGCAGGCUUGAGGCAGGGAGAGGGAUGUGGAAUUCCAGGUGUAGUGGUGAAAUGCGUAGAUACCUGGAGGAACACCAGUGGCGAAGGCGGCAUCCUGGCCCUGUCCUGACGCUCAGGGGCGAAAGCGAUGGGGAGCAAACCGG